GAUCCUGGCUCAGGACGAACGCUGGCGGCGUGCUUAACACAUGCAAGUCGAACGAGAAUCUGCGGAUCGAGGAUUCGUCCAAGUGAAGCAGAGGACAGUGGCGGACGGGUGAGUAACGCGUGAGGAACCUGCCUUUUCAGAGGGGGGACAACAGUUGGAAACGACUGCUAAUACCGCAUGAUACGUUUUAGGGGCAUCCCUGAGACGUCAAAGAUUUAUCGCUGAAAGAUGGCCUCGCG
rnacentral:rRNA from 1 species